AUUGAACGCUGGCGGCAUGCUUUACACAUGCAAGUCGAACGGCAGCACGGACUUCGGUCUGGUGGCGAGUGGCGAACGGGUGAGUAAUACAUCGGAACGUGCCCAGUUGUGGGGGAUAACUACUCGAAAGAGUAGCUAAUACCGCAUGAGAACUGAGGUUGAAAGCAGGGGAUCGUAAGACCUUGCGCAACUGGAGCGGCCGAUGGCAGAUUAGGUAGUUGGUGGGAUAAAAGCUUACCAAGCCGACGAUCUGUAGCUGGUCUGAGAGGACGACCAGCCACACUGGGACUGAGACACGGCCCAGACUCCUAAGGGAGGCAGCAGUGGGGAAUUUUGGACAAUGGGCGAAAGCCUGAUCCAGCAAUGCCGCGUGCAGGAUGAAGGCCUUCGGGUUGUAAACUGCUUUUGUACGGAACGAAAAGGCUCUGGCAAAUACCUGGGGCACAUGACGGUACCGUAAGAAUAAGCACCGGCUAACUACGUGCCAGCAGCCGCCGUAA
rnacentral:rRNA from 1 species